AUUCUCGCACACACAGGACGUGCGCACAAGGCACACCUCUCCUUCGCACGCACAGGAUAUGCGCACAACGCUAUGUCUUUUUCAUGCGCACGCGGAGUGGGGUUAGGACCUGCCCGCGCAUCCUAUCGCGCAUAGGCGAGCCAUUCGCACAUCACCUCAUGCACUAACAUGUGCCGCACAAUAUGCGUGUGUCGUUCGCGCAACAAGCUUGUGUGAAUAGGCCAUGUGCGCCUAGGACCUGCGUAAAUGGCACCCCGCACGUCUAGGCCCUACAUGCGUGGCAGUAGGCAUGUGCACUUGCAGGCUAGCCUGUAGUGUGCUAGCUAAAGCACUGCUUCAUUAGGCAGUGCACCACUGCUGCCUUGGGCAUUGCACCAUGGCCGGCGGCAGAGGAGUCUAUCCUCCCUUAUUUUUUGUGCUGAACAUCUUUUUCUCCUCUCUUUUUACCAGAUUUUGCCACUUG
rnacentral:lncRNA from 1 species